rnacentral:rRNA from 1 species
GACAGAGGGUGCAAACGUUGUUCGGAAUUACGGGGCGUAAAGCGCGUGUAGGCGGCAAGCCAAGUCGGGUGUGAAAGCCCUGGGCUCAACCCAGGAAGUGCAUUCGAUAUUGGCAAGCUAGAGUCCCGGAGAGGAUGGUGGAACUCUCGGUGUAGAGGUGAAAUUCGUAGAUAUCGAGAAGAACACCGGUGGCGAAGGCGGCCAUCUGGACGGUGACUGACGCUGAGACGCGAAAGCGUGGGGAGCAAACAGG